GUGGAGAGUUUGAUCCUGGCUCAGGAUGAACGCUGGCGGCGUGCCUAAUACAUGCAAGUCGAGCGAACAGACGAGGAGCUUGCUCCUUUGACGUUAGCGGCGGACGGGUGAGUAACACGUGGGUAACCUACCUAUAGGACUGGAAUAACUCCGGGAAACCGGGGCUAAUGCCGGAUAACAUUUAGAACCGCAUGGUUCUAAAGUGAAAGAUGGUUUUGCUAUCACUUAUAGAUGGACCCGCGCCGUAUUAGCUAGUUGGUAAGGUAACGGCUUACCAAGGCGACGAUACGUAGCCGACCUGAGAG
rnacentral:rRNA from 1 species